CGCCCUCGCCCUCGCCCCAGCUCGCGCCGCCGCCGCCACCGCCCUACACCCGGCCCGCGGCGCCGCCGCGCUCGCCCUCGCCACAGCGUCCGCAGCCGCCGCGCUCCACCCAGCCGGCGGGAGAGGGGACAAGAUCUGCUGGCGCCCUGGCCUCCCCCGCCCCGCCGUCCUCCCCUGCCUCAUCUCCUACACUGCGGGAGAGGGGAGGAAGAUCCCCCUGCGCCCCGGCCUCUUCUGCCGUCUGCCCCUUGCUCCCCCGCCCCGACGGCAUCCUUGGACCACGUCCUGGCGUGUCUGCACCACCGCACGUGAUGAUGGCGACUCAGCAACCGGCCGGCUAUGACCCUGCGCUGCUCUAGGCUCUCAACAACAUGUCGUUGCGUCCUCUGCGUCCAAUAGUGGGGAAUGGUUCCUCGACAUCGGCGCGUCAUCGCACAUGUCCAACUCGUCCGAACAACAGCUGCAAUGGCAAGCAAACCAAGCUUGCUGCAAUACAGAUACUAGAUGAUUGGCAGGAAACUGGUACACUUUUGGCUGCAUUAGAGAAGAUUGAAUCUUGGAUAUUUUCUCGGAUUGUCGAGACUGUGUGGUGGCAGGUACCAUGAAGAUUGAACAAUUAGCUGCUGGUAUAGCUAUGGAGUUGUUCUGUGAAUCGUAAAGUGCUUGCACAAUCAAGUUUUGUAUAGCUGGAGGCCUAACCAUUUGUUGCCGGUUUCCUGAUGUUGCUCCCGACCCCGUAGUGUAUAGUUCGGCUCAAGAACUGAUUCCACCGUAAAUUGCUAUUGUGCUUUAGCUCGCCAAAAGUGGAAAACCCAUAUUAUUCAUGAAUUCCAAGCUUGGGGCCAAGUGUUGAUGGCCUCAGCAUAAUUUUGGUUGAUAUCUGUGAAUGGAAUUCUCUUAUAAGCACUCUAUACUUCUCUUAUAAUUUGUUUAUAAUACCAAACUUACAAUAUGUAUUGGUGGCCAUGCAAAGAUUUGAAUUCUACAGUACACGUCCAAAUACAAGAAAAGAUAUCAAACAAGCACAUUAUUGGUCAUCUCAACGGCAGCAGCAGAUCAUCCGUUGUUUGCAUAGUGCACCUUUUGUUCCUUCAUAUAUUAUUGAGUAUUGACUGCAGUAAAACGGUGUCAUAUAUACUAUAUGAGCAUUUUAAACUUUGAAUCUUAUUGAUUGCAGUAAAACUUCCAUAUACAGCCAUGAAACUAUAUCUUGGAUGAAAUUGGGAAAAGGUCCUCCUGUCAACAAAGCAGCAGCGAGUGAAACCCAGUUGGUUGCAGUCAGCGAGGUGCAGUCAGCAGGGGCGGGGCGCGCGAGCUAGCAGCGGGCCGGCGGCGGCAUCCUGAGGAGGCUGGAUCAGCGGCGGCUUCAGGAGGAAGAAGGCUCUUCUGGACAAGCACGGGUGAAACCAACCGUUUUCAAGAGAUCGGGUCACCUGUUUCGACAAGAUUGGACACCGAAGAUAUUGGGUUUCUCCUCCGCGGAUUCGGAUCCCCGAAAAAAAUUCAGAUCGGACCUUGUUUCCGGACAGUUUUUUUUUCCUAACCCAUUGAAGUAACGGUUAUUUUUCGGAUCGAGCAUCUUUUCCGUAUGGGGAAAUUUGCUCUUGAACACCGUUAUUUCGUGUCUUUUGCUCAAA